rnacentral:rRNA from 1 species
AACGCUAGCUACAGGCUUAACACAUGCAGGUCGAACGGAUUCUGGAUUCGUCUGGAAUUAGUGGCAAACGGGUGAGUAACACGUAUCCAACCACCCUGCGACUCGGGGAUAGCCUCUUGAAAGGGAGAUUAAUAUCCGAUGUACUGUUUUUGGUGCAUGCCAUUUUCAGUAAAGUUUUUUACGGUCGCUGACGGGGAUGCGUUCCAUUAGAUAGUCGGUGUGGUAACGGCUCACCGAGUCUAUGAUGGAUAGGGGUUCUGAGAGGAAGGUCCCCCACAUUGGAACUGCGAAACGGUCCAAACUCCUACGGGAGGCAGCAGUGAGGAAUAUUGGUCAAUGGGCGAAAGCCUGAACCAGCUAUGUAGCGUGAAGGAUGACUGCCCUAUGGGUUGUAAACUUCUUUUGUUCGGGAAUAACAGACUUCACUUGUGGAGUUUUGCAUGUACCGUUCGAAUAAGGAUCGGCUAACUCCGUGCCAGCAGCCGCGGUAAUACGGAGGAUCCUAGCGUUAUUCGGAUUUAUUGGGUUUAAAGGGAGCGUAGGCGGGGGGUCAAGUCAGCUGUGAAAUACGUACGCUUAACGUUCGUCUUGCAGUUGAAACUGGUUUUCUUGAGUGCGUAUGAGGCAGGCGGAAUUCGUGGUGUAGCGGUGAAAUGCUUAGAUAUCACGAAGAACUCCGAUUG